rnacentral:rRNA from 1 species
UACGGAGGGUGCGAGCGUUGUCCGGAUUUAUUGGGUUUAAAGGGUGCGUAGGUGGGUUAAUAAGUCAGUGGUGAAAUACGGUUGCUCAACAAUCGAGGUGCCAUUGAUACUGUUAAUCUUGAAACAAGUGGAGGUUGCCGGAAUGGAUGGUGUAGCGGUGAAAUGCAUAGAUAUCAUCCAGAACACCGAUUGCGAAGGCAGGUGACUACGUUUGAUUUGACACUGAGGCACGAAAGCAUGGGGGAGCAAAACAGG